rnacentral:rRNA from 1 species
AUUGAACGCUGGCGGCAUGCCUUACACAUGCAAGUCGAACGGCAGCACGGGUGCUUGCACCUGGUGGCGAGUGGCGAACGGGUGAGUAAUGUAUCGGAACGUACCUUUCAGUGGGGGAUAACUAUCCGAAAGGAUAGCUAAUACCGCAUAUUCUGUGAGCAGGAAAGCAGGGGAUCGCAAGACCUUGCGCUGAUUGAGCGGCCGAUAUCAGAUUAGCUAGUUGGUGGGGUAAAGGCCUACCAAGGCUACGAUCUGUAGCGGGUCUGAGAGGAUGAUCCGCCACACUGGAACUGAGACACGGUCCAGACUCCUACGGGAGGCAGCAGUGGGGAAUUUUGGACAAUGGGGGCAACCCUGAUCCAGCCAUGCCGCGUGAGUGAAGAAGGCCUUCGGGUUGUAAAGCUCUUUCGGACGGGAAGAAAUCGCAUCGGCUAAUACCUGGUGCGGAUGACGGUACCGUAAUAAGAAGCACCGGCUAACUACGUGCCAGCCGCCGCAGUAAUAC